CUUGGCAGGGGCAGCAAAACCCUAUAUUCUGAAACAGGGCCAACCCAUUACCAGUCCUCAGUAAUGCAAUGGAUUUCUCCAGUGGUGUUUUGAGGCCUAAGGGAUUGUGAAGAGAAGAUGAUGGAGCAACAAGCUAAGAAAGAGAGAAAAGGUACACAGAAUGGCAAGCUGAAUCAGAAUGGUGCCUUUGUGAGCUUUUUGGACAUUUAGAAGAAGGAGUUGAGCUGAACUACACAAGCCCUCAGGAAGCCCCUCCCUGACAGAGUUAUAGA
rnacentral:lncRNA from 1 species